GCCGGGCAAGGAGGUGAUGAGAGAGGCACCCGUGAGGAGCCUGGCUGGAGCUGGGGGGGCGUGUGCCGGGGCAGUGGGGUGCCAGGCUCCCUCCUGAGGGGUUCUGUGGAGCCAGACAGGGAUUGGGGAGCAUCAGGAGGGGGACACGACUGGGAAGAGAAGAAGAUCUGCCCAGGACACAGCCCAGAGCAACAGGGGCUAGUGCUUAAGGCCAGAGGCGAGACCCCAGAACCCAGUGAGGAGGCUGGAGGAGGAGGCCCAGAAAGACCAGUGUCUGGAGGGAGGACAGACAUGUAUGUGGGAGGACUGGGAUGUCCCAGAACAGAACAGACGCCCCCGAGGCACAUUGGGGGCAACAGGGGCCACCCACACCACCUGAGCAGCCUUCUCCCACAGCAGCUUCCCAGGCAGCCAGGGGCCUGGUGAUAGGGCUCAGAUCAGGGAAGGAAAAAAUAAAUUCUUUGUGCCACACGAGCUGCUGCCCUUUCCCACAAGCCCUUACAAUCCUGUCUUUGUUUCCGGUGGAGCAAAUGAUAGGGAAACCGAUGGCUGUUCUGUUCGCAUUAUGGUUGAGCCUUAAAGACAUGCCCCCCAGGGCCCAGGGGGAAGGACGCCAGGCAGCGACCUCAGUGGCCACGGGGGGAAGGUGGAUCACCAGGGAAGGGCAUCUCCCUGAAGUCAGGCCUGGAGCAAGCUGCACCUGGCUCCCUCCAGGGGUGGGGACGCUUCCCUGUGCAACUGGAAGAUGGAGGUCCCCCAGGGACAGCAUUGUGGCUGGCUCUUAGAACGGGCUAGAAACCAAAAAAAAAAAACACAGGCAAGAUGAGGUCAAGAUGGAAAUAAGCAAACAGAGACGGUCAAAGGUGCUGGCAGCGUCUUCCUGGGAAGCAUAUCCUACCCGGCUGACCAUGGCUUUGCAGAGUGCAAGGUCCCAAGGUCCUCUGAUCUGAGCAGACUGUGGUCGACCAACAGAUGAUUCGUCAUCCAACAAGUGCGCAUUCCACGCCUCUGACAUCGCAGGACAUGGGAGGACCUGACACGGAAGGACACUCCAGGCCUUUCUUGUAAACCGGUCAAAUCCAAGGAAAAGCCCUACGCGGACCAAGGCGAUGGGGACCUCCUCCUUGCCCUCCCAUCCCCCACCACGCGACGGGGGCCUGUGCAAGAAACGGUGCCCUCAGGAAGGGGUGACGGACAGGUGGACGGUGUCCUGACCGCUGACCCAAGCGGCCAAUCCCUCCGCAGCUACAUAGGAGGUUCCAGAAACAUUGCCUGUACCUACAUCACUUGGCGUUUGCCAGAAGCAACUAAAACUCCUGAAUGGGAAGUGGGGAGCGAGUGUUUCGUGGGGACAGAGUUUCCGUUGGGAAAGAGGAAAGGAGACAGACCGUGGUAACGUUUGCGCGGCGAUAUGGAAGUUCAUGCCAUGGAACCACACACUUAGAAAUGGUAAACUUUAUCUGAUGAAUAUUUUACCCCAACAAAAAAAUGACUGCGUAAAAAAAUAAAAAGUUUAU